UACGGAGGAUGCAAGCGUUAUCCGGAAUGAUUGGGCGGAAAGCGUCCGCAGGUGGCUGUGUAAGUCUGCUGUUAAAGAGUGAGGCUCAACCUCAUAAAGGCAGUGGAAACUACAUGGCUAGAGUGCGUUCGGGGCAGAGGGAAUUCCUGGUGUAGCGGUGAAAUGCGUAGAGAUCAGGAAGAACACCGGUGGCGAAAGCGCUCUGCUAGGCCGCAACUGACACUGAGGGACGAAAGCUAGGGGAGCGAAUGGG
rnacentral:rRNA from 1 species